GCCUGGGUGGCUCAGUCGGUUGAGCGUCUGACUUCGGCUCAGGUCGUUGAGUUCACAGCUCGUGAGUUCGAGCCCUGCGUCGGGCU
rnacentral:tRNA from 1 species